UCGAACGGGAAAGGGGAGCAAUCCCUGAGUAGAGUGGCGUACGGGUGAGUAACACGUGGGUAAUCUACCUCUUAGUGGGGAACAACUCUGGGAAACCGGAGCUAAUACCGCAUAAGCUCGAGAGAGGAAAGCAGCAAUGCGCUGAGAGAGGAGCCCGCGGCCGAUUAGUUAGUUGGUGAGGUAACGGCUCACCAAGGCGAAGAUCGGUAGCCGGCCUGAGAGGGCACACGGCCACACUGGCACUGAAACACGGGCCAGACUCCUACGGGAGGCAGCAGUGGGGAAUCUUGCACAAUGGGGGAAACCCUGAUGCAGCGACGCCGCGUGAGCGAUGAAGCCCUUCGGGGUGUAAAGCUCUUUCGGCAGGGAAGAUAAUGACGGUACCUGCAGAAGCAGCUGCGGCUAACUACGUGCCAGCAGCCGCGGUAAUACGUAGGCAGCAAGCGUUGUUCGGAGUUACUGGGCGUAAAGGGUGUGUAGGCGGCUUUUUAAGUUUGGUGUGAAAUCUCCCGGCUCAACCGGGAGGGCGCGCCGAAUACUGAAAGGCUCGAGUGCGGGAGAGGAGAGUGGAAUUCCUGGUGUAGCGGUGAAAUGCGUAGAUAUCAGGAGGAACACCGGUGGUGUAGACGGCUCUCUGGACCGUAACUGACGCUGAGACACGAAAGCGUGGGUAGCAAACAGGAUUAGAUACCCUGGUAGUCCACGCCCUAAACGAUGCAUAUUUGGUGUGGGUCAUUCAGUUGAUCCGUGCCGGAGCUAACGCGUUAAAUAUGCCGCCUGGGGAGUACAGUCGCAAGGCUGAAACUCAAAGGAAUUGACGGGGGCCCGCACAAGCGGUGGAGCAUGUGGUUCAAUUCGACGCA
rnacentral:rRNA from 1 species